AAGCAACAGGACAAAAAAAGAAAAAAAAAAGACACAUUACAUAAAGGGGAAACGAUAAGAAUAUAGCAGACAUCUUAUCAGAAAUAGUGGAAACUGGAUAUUAAUGGAAUGGUACUUUGAAGUUCUGGGGGGAAAAAAUCAACGUAGUAUUCUACAUGUCCGCCAAAUGAGAUAUUUUCCGAUCAACAAAAGCUAAGGAAAUUUGUCACAAGGAGAUAUGCAUUACAAGAAAUGCUAAAGGAAGCCUCUUAAAGCUGAAGGAAAAUGAUACCAGAGGAAAAAUGGAAUGUCUUGAAAGCUGUGAACAUGUGGGUAAAGCUCACAUCAGCGCGACUGCUCUCCCACCUCUGCUUCUGGUUCUGCUAAAAACGAUUCAUCGUGGCCUUGAACCAGACCCUUCUCUCCAGGUAUCAGAUGCUCUACGACAUGAGGGAAUGGGGGACCAAUAAGUCUUCGAGACCUUCUUCACUCAUUGUCCAAGACAAUGGUAUCCCUCAGCAUCUGUCUGCACUAUGGUUAUGUCCUUUCUCUACAUCACAUCCCACCUCCU